GGGAGUGCCGCUCAGUGGUAGAGCACUUGCCUCACAUGCAAAAGAUGUUGGGUCCCAUUCCCA
rnacentral:tRNA from 1 species